rnacentral:rRNA from 1 species
AAAGGGGGCGGCUAUCGAGGCUUACACAUGCAAGUCGAACGAUGAAGCCCAGCUUGCUGGGUGGAUUAGUGGCGAGCGGGUGAGUCUCUCGUGGGUAACCUGCCCUUAACUCUGGGAUAAGCCUGGGAAACUAGGUCUAAUACCGGAUAGGAGCGCCUACCGCAUGGUGGGUGUUGGAAAGAUUUAUCGGUUUUGGAUGGACUCGCGGCCUAUCAGCUUGUUGGUGAGGUAAUGGCUCACCAAGGCGACGACGGGUAGCCGGCCUGAGAGGGUGACCGGCCACACUGGGACUGAGACACGGCCCAGACUCCUACGGGAGGCAGCAGUGGGGAAUAUUGCACAAUGGGCGAAAGCCUGAUGCAGCGACGCCGCGUGAGGGAUGACGGCCUUCGGGUUGUAAACCUCUUUCAGUAGGGAAGAAGCGAAAGUGACGGUACCUGCAGAAGAAGCACCGGCUAACUACGUGCCAGCAGCCGCGGUAAUACGUAGGGUGCGAGCGUUAUCCGGAAUUAUUGGGCGUAAAGAGCUCGUAGGCGGUUUGUCGCGUCUGUCGUGAAAGUCCGGGGCUUAACCCCGGAUCUGCGGUGGGUACGGGCAGACUAGAGUGCAGUAGGGGAGACUGGAAUUCCUGGUGUAGCGGUGGAAUGCGCAGAUAUCAGGAGGAACACCGAUGGCGAAGGCAGGUCUCUGGGCUGUAACUGACGCUGAGGAGCGAAAGCAUGGGGAGCGAACAGGAUUAGAUACCCUGGUAGUCCAUGCCGUAAACGUUGGGCACUAGGUGUGGGGACCAUUCCACGGUUUCCGCGCCGCAGCUAACGCAUUAAGUGCCCCGCCUGGGGAGUACGGCCGCAAGGCUAAAACUCAAAGGAAUUGACGGGGGCCCGCACAAGCGGCGGAGCAUGCGGAUUAAUUCGAUGCAACGCGAAGAACCUUACCAAGGCUUGACAUGUUCUCGAUCGCCGUAGAGAUACGGUUUCCCCUUUGGGGCGGGUUCACAGGUGGUGCAUGGUUGUCGUCAGCUCGUGUCGUGAGAUGUUGGGUUAAGUCCCGCAACGAGCGCAACCCUCGUUCCAUGUUGCCAGCACGUAAUGGUGGGGACUCUUGGAAAA